UCCUUUUUUUAUACAGUUAAUGUCCAGGGGUCGGUAUUACGAAGCAUUCCUAAGACCUGUCAUAAGAUAUUUCUUAAGGACAUGUCUUAUGAUCCUCUUAUGACUAUCUAUGGACAUAUAUUUAUUUGAUGAAUUAUAAUUGUGAGUGUCCACUUUGAAGGCAAUGGUAAAAUACUUUCAUUCUAGUUAACACUAAAAGACAUAAGAGGAUGGCCAGGAUAGAUGUGUCUACAAAUAAAAUUGGG
rnacentral:lncRNA from 1 species